UACGUAGGGGGCGAGCGUUGUCCGGAGUUACUGGGCGUAAAGGGCAUGCAGGCGGUCGGACGCGUUUCGGGUGACAGCGGGUGGCUUAACUACCCGAGUGGUCGAAAGACGGUUUGACUUGAGGACGCGAGAGGGACACGGAAUUCCGGGUGGAGUGGUGAAAUGCGUAGAGAUCCGGAGGAACACCGAAGGCGAAGGCAGUGUCCUGGCGCGUAACUGACGCUGAGGUGCGAAAGCGUGGGGAGCGAACAGG
rnacentral:rRNA from 1 species